rnacentral:rRNA from 1 species
GAUGAACGCUGGCGGCGUGCCUAAUACAUGCAAGUCGAGCGAACAGACGAGGAGCUUGCUCCUCUGACGUUAGCGGCGGACGGGUGAGUAACACGUGGAUAACCUACCUAUAAGACUGGUAUAACUUCGGGAAACCGGAGCUAAUACCGGAGAAUAUAUUGAACCGCAUGGUUCAAUAGUAAAAGACGGUUUUGCUGUCACUUAUAGAUGGAUCCGCGCCGCAUUAGCUAGUUGGUCAGGUAACGGCUUACCAAGGCAACGAGGCGUAGCCGACCUGAGAGGGUGAUCGGCCACACUGGAACUGGGACACGGUCCAGACUCCUACGGGAGGCAGCAGUAGGGAAUCUGCCGCAAUGGGGGAAAGCCUGACGGAGCAACGCCGCGUGAGUGAUGAAGGUCUUCGGAUCGUAAAACUCUGUUAUUAGGGAAGAACAAAUGUGUAAGUAACUAUGCACGUCUUGACGGUACCUAAUCAGAAAGCCACGGCUAACUACGUG